rnacentral:rRNA from 1 species
AAGGUGGCCUGUGAGGGUUGCUGGAGGUAUCAGAAGUGCGAAUGCUGACAUAAGUAACGAUAAAGCGGGUGAAAAGCCCGCUCGCCGGAAGACCAAGGGUUCCUGUCCAACGUUAAUCGGGGCAGGGUGAGUCGACCCCUAAGGCGAGGCCGAAAGGCGUAGUCGAUGGGAAACGGGUUAAUAUUCCCGUACUUGGUGUUACUGCGAAGGGGGGACGGAGAAGGCUAUGUUGGCCGGGCGACGGUUGUCCCGGUUUAAGCGUGUAGGUGUGUGUUCCAGGUAAAUCCGGUUCACUUUAACACUGAGGCGUGAUGACGAGGCACUACGGUGCUGAAGCAACAAAUGCCCUGCUUCCAGGAAAAGCCUCUAAGCAUCAGGUAACAUCAAAUCGUACCCCAAACCGACACAGGUGGUCAGGUAGAGAAUACCAAGGCGCUUGAGAGAACUCGGGUGAAGGAACUAGGCAAAAUGGUGCCGUAACUUCGGGAGAAGGCACGCUGACACGUAGGUGAAGUGAUUUACUCACGGAGCUGAAGUCAGUCGAAGAUACCAGCUGGCUGCAACUGUUUAUUAAAAACACAGCACUGUGCAAACACGAAAGUGGACGUAUACGGUGUGACGCCUGCCCGGUGCCGGAAGGUUAAUUGAUGGGGUCAGCGCAAGCGAAGCUCCUGAUCGAAGCCCCGGUAAACGGCGGCCGUAACUAUAACGGUCCUAAGGUAGCGAAAUUCCUUGUCGGGUAAGUUCCGACCUGCACGAAUGGCGUAAUGAUGGCCAGGCUGUCUCCACCCGAGACUCAGUGAAAUUGAACUCGCUGUGAAGAUGCAGUGUACCCGCGGCAAGACGGAAAGACCCCGUGAACCUUUACUAUAGCUUGACACUGAACAUUGAGCCUUGAUGUGUAGGAUAGGUGGGAGGCUUUGAAGUGUGGACGCCAGUCUGCAUGGAGCCGACCUUGAAAUACCACCCUUUAAUGUUUGAUGUUCUAACGUGGACCCGUGAUCCGGGUUGCGGACAGUGUCUGGUGGGUAGUUUGACUGGGGCGGUCUCCUCCUAAAGAGUAACGGAGGAGCACGAAGGUUGGCUAAUCCUGGUCGGACAUCAGGAGGUUAGUGCAAUGGCAUAAGCCAGCUUGACUGCGAGCGUGACGGCGCGAGCAGGUGCGAAAGCAGGUCAUAGUGAUCCGGUGGUUCUGAAUGGAAGGGCCAUCGCUCAACGGAUAAAAGGUACUCCGGGGAUAACAGGCUGAUACCGCCCAAGAGUUCAUAUCGACGGCGGUGUUUGGCACCUCGAUGUCGGCUCAUCACAUCCUGGGGCUGAAGUAGGUCCCAAGGGUAUGGCUGUUCGCCAUUUAAAGUGGUACGCGAGCUGGGUUUAGAACGUCGUGAGACAGUUCGGUCCCUAUCUGCCGUGGGCGCUGGAGAACUGAGGGGGGCUGCUCCUAGUACGAGAGGACCGGAGUGGACGCAUCACUGGUGUUCGGGUUGUCAUGCCAAUGGCACUGCCCGGUAGCUAAAUGCGGAAGAGAUAAGUGCUGAAAGCAUCUAAGCACGAAACUUGCCCCGAGAUGAGUUCU